rnacentral:tRNA from 1 species
GGAGGGAUCGCAUAGCCUGGCCGAGUGCGCCCGCCUCGAAAGCGGGUAGGCCCGCAAGGGUCUCGUGGGUUCAAAUCCCACUCCCUCCG